CAGCGCUGUAAACCAUCACCAGGCUGUGGAAACUUUCUUCCCCUCCUCAACAACUUAGUGGAGCUCUUUCCAGAACCGGGGAAGAUAUUCUGCGGUCUUCGUGACAAUCGGAGCUCCAGAAUCAGGUUGUGGAUUGAAGAGGUUCCCUCUAUCAGACUCGCUCAUCUGAGUUGGUCAUGAUGCAGGAUCUGUACUUCUGAAGGGAAAACCAAGAGGAUCUGGCUGCAAACAACAAGAUAACGGAAUGCCAAGGCGCCAAACUGUGUUUAUAAGGCAUCGACUCUGCAUCUGUAACGGGACGAGUCGCGUGAAAAGAAGAAAAUUACCAUUUGAAAGAUAAAACAAGACAUCCCUCUCUCCAUCAAGAAAAUGGAGCCAGAGAGAAAAAGAAAAGUUUCCGCUGUGUGGGAUCAUUUUGAUCUUUUAUCUGUAAAUAAGGUUAAAUGUCGCAUCUGCUCAGCGAAGUUGUCUUAUACAAAUAAGAGCACUUACGCAAUGCUGAGACAUUACAGAGUCAAGCAUGCAAACGAAGAGGAAGCAAAUACACCAAGAACGAACACAGAAUCUAGGAAGAUUGCUCUGGACCAAGCAGUCCUGAACUUUAUUAUAAAGGACUGCCAACCCCUGAGCAUUGUGGAGAGCGAGGGGUUCAGGGGGUUGAUUCAGGUCCUUGAUCCAUCUUACGCUUUGCCAACCAGAAAGACGGUUAAGGAAAUGAUGGCCAAAAGACAUGCGGAGGAACUCGAACGAGUAACAAGGGAAGUACAGCAAGCUGUGGCAAUGGCGCUGGUUAAAGAAGAAGCUCCUGAAGAACAGAGAGAUGGUGUGGAUCAGCAGGACCCAGAACAUCUUCACAUAAAGGAGGAACAGGAGGAACUCUGGAUCAGUGUGGAGGGAGAGCAGCUCCAUUUGAAGAAGGAGAUUGAUGUGGUCGAGGUUCCACUCACUACAGUUUCUAUAAAGAGUGAGGAUGAUGAAGAGAAACCUCUGUUCUCAGAGCUUCAUCAGCAGCAAACAGAAGACGGUGAUGUCCCAACCAGCAGCUCAGCUGACCAGAUUACAGCAGAAACUUGGAGGAGCCCAGAUCUAAACCCAUGUGAACAGACAGAUACUUCAGAGACGGAAGUUAGUACCGUGGAUGAAGAGAAUGGUGAUGUGAAUCUAGACUCUGAGCUGUCAGACUUCUGGCCUGAAAAUGACGACGACUGGAAUGAGAGCAGGACUUCUGACUCAGAUGUUAAAAAAACUAUCAACAAAUCCUUUAGCUGCUCUGAGUGUGGUGAACAUUUUCUCCGCAGGUGGUCUCUCCAGAUUCACGUGAGAGAGACGAGUCAUUCAGCGAUAGGGUCUUCAGGCUGUUUGGUUGAUCAGAAAUGUGAUGUAGAGAAGCAACAUGUAGACUCAUGCAGGAAUGUCAAAACAAAACUAAAAUCCUUUGUUUGUAAUGACUGUGGAAAAGAAUUUAGGGGAAAAUCAAAUUUAAAGAACCACGUGACGGUUCACACAAGAGAGAAGCCUUUUGCUUGUGAGCUGUGUGGACAAAGAUUUAGCCGAAAGCAAGUUAUAGAUGAUCACAUGAGAAUCCACUCAGGACUGAAGCCUUUUGCUUGUGAGGUAUGUGGACAAAGAUUUAGCCGAAAGACAUAUUUAUUCCAACAUGCUCGAGUCCACACAGGGCAGAAGCCCUUUGCUUGUGAGAUUUGCGGACAAAGAUUUGGCCGUAGGCCAACAUUAAAAAGUCACAUGAGAGUCCACACAGGUGAGAAGCCUUAUGCUUGUCAGCUUUGUAGACAAAGAUUUAGCCAGAAGGCAAGUUUUAACAGACACAUGGAAGUUCACACAGGACAUAAGCCCUUUGCUUGUGAGCUCUGUGGACAAAGAUUUGCCCGAAAGGCAACUUUAGACAUACACAUGAGACUCCACACAGGACAGAAGCCUUUUGCCUGUGAGCUCUGUGGACAACGAUAUACCAAUAAGUCAAAUUUAAAUGUACACAUGAGAAUACACACAGGACACAAAUAAGUCUUUAAACUACAAAAGUACUAAAAGUGACCCAUGUACCGUAAUUUCCGGCCUACAAGCCGCUAUUAUUUCCCUGUGCUUUGAAGCCUGCGGCCAAUAUCAUGGUGCGGCUUGUGUAGAUUUUUUUUGGCCAACAACCACUAGAGGCACUCUCUAGCAGUAAAGUGAGACAGGCACGGCAAAACAUUAUGCGCGGAAGUAGACGCUCUUUGAUUGAAAGCGGCACGUUUACACAUCAGACAUACCCUCGUCAUGGAAAACACGUGGAGGAAUACAUAUGCUGCAGCUUACAAGUUAAAAGCGAUCCAUCUGGCCAUCAAACAAGGAAACAGAGCCACUGCACGGGAGCUUGGUAUAAAUGAAUCAAUGGUGCGACGUUGGAGGCGGCAGCGGGAAGAACUCAGUCAGUGUAAAAAAAACGACUGAAGCUUCCAGAGGAAAUAAAAGCAGAUGGCCGUGUAACGUGAGGAAGUAUGGGUUUUCUGUGCCAAAGGUUGUAUUUGCCCGGCUGGGUCAAAGCUGGGUCACGCAGCACUUUCACCCACAGAUUAAGACCUGAGCCGACAGCAAGUCUAAAGGACGCCACAACAUCCAACACCUGCAGCUUCAGAAGAAGGACUUCUCCACAGUCUAGUCAUAAUAAAACAAAGUCUUAAACUUUCUUCAUUAUUAAAGUUAAAUAAUCAUUUGAUCACUUCAAUGAAUGAUUAUUAUGCUUUGGGUAAUCAUAAUGAACUAUAAUGAAUCAGUAUAAUUAAAUAUGUUUUUGAAGAUGUUUAGCAAUGACCUUCACAUGUGCUCACACAGGUCCCACUCCAUAGUAACUCAAAACACAUUUGCUCUGACGCACAACAAGUUUGCUUUGGGAAGAGAAGUGGUUCUGGUAAGUUAGUCAGAAUGAGAUUGAGAACGAAAGAGAGCAGAAGUGUGGAACAAACGCCACGGGGAAAGGAGCCCUGCCGGCUUCCUAUUCUCCCCCCACGCUAUUUCUGUCAAGCCAGACAGAAUAGCUGAAAUGCAACCAGCUAACGCAGACUCGUCCCAGAGUCUUUUGAUUUCUGAGUUAAUUUAAACUUGAGAAAGCGCAUCUGCCGAACGCUUCAGCAAUGUGUACCGAGGUCAACUCUGGACCGGAUCGUCGCACACCUUUGUCUCCUCUGCCAGCCAAGGUGCGACCUGGAUAACACAUCCUCCGAGGUCCGGAUCUGAAAGGGGGUCCUAAGUACGGUGAGGCAGAACACAAUAGAUAGCGUUCUGAUGCUGGUUUUCUAAUAAGAACUAAAGUUUAAUUGCAAAACAUCUUUUUUCACUCAGACACCUUUUCUCUCCCUGAAGCAAUCUCAGACACCUGCUUGCACGCAUUCAUAAUUCCAUCAUUCUCAAAUCUUAGCACAUCCAACACAAGGUCUAUUUGUGCAAGCUUAAAAUAUCAACUGUUAAAGACUGUCCAACAAGGUUGCCAAUGUUGAUUGUUUUUCCUAUGAUUGUCAUUUCAAAUCGUUAGUUUAAAUUGAAGAAUUAAAAUUCUUAAAUUUUAAACUUGUCUUUUCAUUAAACUGAAACACAGACAAACGGGUAUGAUCGUCAGUUUAUCGAUGAAAACAACCUUUGAGUCUUCUUAUCUCUAUAACAUUUGGUUAUUAAUUUGUAAAAAUUAAUAUUCCAGAUUAUUAUGUAGAAUGGUUCAUCUUUCAUAAAAGAGCCGACAACCAUUACGCUACAGCCGGAAUAGGAAAACAUUCUUGAAGACUGGGUGAAGACACAAAGAGCAGACUGCCGAGGUGUUUCCACUGUUUCAGCUGUGCUGAUCAUUACUAACCAGGCAUGUUUUGUGUACAGUUUUUAUUUUCUAAUCAUCCAGGGCUUAUUAAUGCUGUGUCAGCGCUGUUCUUUUCUUCUAAACAUGCAAAUUACCGGUAAUAACGUGUCAGUGCUGUUUUUAUUUUAUAACCAUCCAGAAAUACGAAUGCUAUCAGUGCUGUUUUCUUUUCUAAACUUGCAGGCACGUUCACCAUGUUUAAAAUUUGUUUUGUUGAAUUAAAACAACAACGAAAAACCUCCGCGUCUUUCUGUCUAAUUAUCUUGUGUUAUGGCCGUACAUGCGCUGUGCGCCGGAGACCUGGAUGUGGCUGCUGCGCAGCGACUUGUAUUUGAGUGCUGCGUGUGUGUGUGUAGAAAACCCUUUUUAUUUUAUUUUUUUGCUGGUGCGGCUUUUAUUGAGGUGCGCUCUAUAGUCCGGAAAUUACAUCCUGGUUGGACUUGUACUCCUGGUGGCAGCACUUUCCCCUUGUUCAGGCACAUCCUGCUCAUGGGAUUCUUUUUUCUAUCCUGUGAGCCACCUAUCAUUACAUAAUGAUGACCUUCAGCCUGAGUUGUUGUCGAGAAAACAUUUGAUGUUUAUUUUCCCAAAUGAGCUUUUCAGCACCUGAGACAGUUUCCGGAGCGACUCACUCUCCCUCAGUGGCAGUUCAGGACCUUGGAGAGAGGCACGCCAGAAACAGGAGCUGCUGAUCCAAAUCGGCCAUCAAGCAGCCUGGAGGACUUCUAAAGGAGAGCACAGCAGUCAUCCGAGGAGAUCCAGAGCUAGUCUGAGAUUCUCCUGAGCUGGGUUCCCCUUUUUCACUAAGGCUAAACUGUGGUGUACGGUUGUCUAGGGUUUUUGGUAGAAAGUAGACUUUGUUCUUCUUCUUCAGGCUUUUUGACAGAGUUACAGCUUUAGUUUUGGUGUUUUCCCCCAUUGGACUUUUAGCCGGGGAUUUUUUUCUGUUUAGGUGGUUUCGGCCAAAUGCAGUUUUCCUAAGCUGUUACUCGCUUACGUUUUCAGUUUCCACCUUUGUAGCGCCAUUCCCUGUUGUAAGCCUCAUUUUGCCUUUAGAAAAGGACACCCUUUGUUAAUAAAUCCUCUUGAUUUUUACUUCACCACCUCAUUAUUUAUCCACUCACUCACACCUCCACCUAUUUUUCUGUGUUAGUCCCCUCAUCCUGACGUUCAGGAGGGGACGUAACACUGAUCUACGAAACCUGCAGCCAACAUACCCAUUCCCCUUCGAGCUCACACUUUUUUUUCCAAUCACUUUGGAACUUGCACGCAUAUUUCCUUUUUUUACUCAUCGUCGCCAUGUGUGUGUCUCUUCUUCUUCCGUUCUGCCGUGCUUGACUCCUAGGCGUAACAGUUAUAAUUGUCCGGCCGGAAAUGGCACCCAUUAGUUUAGGGUGGAAAAUCGGGAGAAUGGUGGCCCCGGGAGAUUUCUUGGAAGGGCACUGAAAAUAUGGAGUUCCCGGAAAAAUUGGGAGGGUUUGCAAGUAUGGUUUAGAGAUGGGAGGGAGGUCUAGGAUGGAGGAUGCAAUGACUCCCAGACGGUUCCAAAGUUUUCACCAGGUCACAGUUCCAGCCACUCUGUUGGGGGUUGGGGGGGGGGGGGGGGUACAGCGUCUGUCCACAUCCCCUCUGUGGGGAAUUUUUUCUUCAGCCUCAGACUGAAGACUCAAAGGCACCAGAUUCUGAUAAGAUGAAUUAUUUUGGGACAGGCAGAGAUAAAUGUCCUCCCUGCCAUACAGUUCUGCUGGCGUCAUUUCCAUCAAAAAAUGCCAAUAAUGGUGUUUAAACUAUUCCAGGCCAUGCAGGGACCACUCUCUCCAUGAUGACAUCCACUUUUUGUGUCAAAGCUGAAAUCGCAGCAAAAGUCUCAAGCUUGAGAUUCGUCUCGACACUUGUCCGAGUGUGUACAUUCACAGCAUGAUAAACUCCAUUCCCGAGUUCAGGAAGCUUUCCAAUUGUCCCCAAAAACUUCUUAAAGUUUUGAUAUACCCAUGCCAAAAAGCAAAAAUCAACACCUGCGAAAAUCUAUACAUCUUCAGUGUCCUCCACAGAAGGCUGGGAAAGGCAUAUUACAUUCCACUUCUUCCAAGAAUCUAAAAAACAGAGUGUGUUCCAUCCGAACAUGUAGAAGCCCCUCCCUCCAAUCUCAUUGUUGAAAAAUUUUUGUCAAUCGCGUUGAAAGACCAACUGACCAGAUCCGUAUUGUAAUAAUUUCCAGAUUUUCAGAAGCAAUGCAGAGAAGCGCCGUGGAGACAGGCAAACAGGACAAAGGGCGGAGAAAAGAAAAGUACCCAUGGUCCAGUAGUAGAUGGGCGUGACUUAGACUCCCUAUGUCCUGCCUUCUACUUUGAUUGAUGGCUACAGACAGCUUUCUCCACACAGUUUAUGCAAGACCGAAACUCAAAACGGAAGACUGUCAAUCGUACAGGGUGCUGUAGCGCGUUGCAUGAUGGAAUAGCCGGGUGUAUAAAUUAUGGAAGCAUUGGUCGCUUUGUGUGUUGUGAGAAAAUGGUACACUCUUGUUAUGCGAAGGGCUACCAUGCCAGGUCACACAAUUACAAGAAGCAAAAACUUGAUAACGACAUAAGAUGUAGUGUCUGUGCCUAAAAUAACUGGAUGUUAUUCACCUCGUCAGUGGUUUUACUUUCCAUAAUAUUUGGGCAGGUGCAACUUUUUGACUUGUGUUUCCAUUUGUGGCAUGUUUAAACAGUUCAGAAAACAAA